CUUCUCGCGUUCUUCAUUUUUCUGCCGCCGCCUCUCUGCCCGGCAGCCGUCGCCUGAGUCGCACAGGGGCCGCCUCUCCUUCUCCCGCCCUGCGGUCGCUCCUUCCCCCGCCCAUCGGUCGCCGUUUCCUGAGUCGCACUGGGGCGGCCGCUCCGUCUCCCGCCCUGCGGGCGCCGCCGCAAGAUCUUGGACGGGCCCCAAGAUCUUCAACGGGGCAGCCGGCCAGCGCCGCCCGGCGGCCCUCUCUCUCCAUCGAAGGAUCUUCGGACGGCGGCCGAGAUCGGUUCCUCCGCGCGUCGUGGUUGAGAUCCCUCGCAUAGGAUAUCGGCAUGGCUGGCGAAGGCAUCUCGAUAGAUGAAUUUAUGGAGUACGACUCGAUGGUCAGGCAGACAUUUAAAAGUGAGAACGAAGCGUACAAGUUCUACUUAGGGUAUGCGAAGAACAAAGGGUUUGGUGUUAGAAAGGGCGAUCUGAAAUAUAAGGGAAACAAGGAAAAUGCAUACCGGAGGACGUUUGUGUGUUGCAAACAAGGAUAUCGUGACGUAAAGCACUUUGAUGAAACCGACAAGAAAAGGACGCCAAGGGCACUCUUUCGGUGUGGUUGUCCUGCUCUUUUGCAGGUUGAGCUUCAAGCAAGCACUGGAUUGUGGUUUGUAAAGAAUUUUGUUGACCAACAUAGCCAUCCAUUCAUAAAUCCUGAGUUGUCACCUUUCUUGUGGUCUCAUCGUGGCAUGACCGAUCCACAGAAGGCGGAUGUCAUUGAGUACUCGGUUGGUGGACUUCGCACACAUCAGAUAAUGGAUGUGAUGGAGAAGCAGGCUGGUGGUUUGGGCAAGGUUGGAUUUAUAUCUCGCGAUCUGUAUAACCAUGUCGCGUUGGAGAAGAAGAAAAAGAUAGAAGGUAGCGAUGCUCAAUUUAUGCUGAACUACAUGACAGCACAACAGAUGAAAGACCCAGAUUUUUUUACAGAUACACCACAGACAGUGAUGGGCAUCUGCAGAACAUAUUCUGGGCAGACGCCCAAUCUCGCUUGGACUAUGUUGAAUUUGGUGGUGUGGUGGUGUUUGACAGCACAUACCGGUCAAACAAAUAUAGGUUGCCGUUUGUUCCAUUUGUGGGACUGAACCAUCACCGCAGCACAGUCGUGUUUGGGGUUGGUCUUGUAUCCGACGAGUCGGCUAACUCAUAUGAGUGGCUGCUUCAGGUUUUUUUGGAGGCAAUGCACCAGAAGCAUCCCAUUUCAGCGAUCACAGACGGCUACGUUUCAAUGGCCAAAGCCAUAUCAUCAGUCUGGCCUAGCACAUAUCACCGUCUGUGCAGCUGGCAUAUCGAGCAGAAUAUGGUGCUUCACCUCCGAAAGGAAAAGCUUAAGGAAUUUAGGAAAUUUAUUUACUAUGCCAUGGAGGUUCAUGAGUUUGAGAGACGCUGGUUGGCUUAUAAGAAGAGAUUCAGAAUCACAAGGAAAAAGAAAGAUGCAUGGAUUCACAGGAUGUACGAGCUGAGAGAAAAGUGGUCUGUAGCAUAUAACAAGGGAAGGUAUUUCCUAGGGAUGUUGAGCAAUCAGAGGAGUGAGUCUCUAAACUCGAGGCUUCAUGUGCACCUGAAUAGGAGAAUGAAACUCGUUGAUCUCGUGCAACACGUUGAACACUGUGUGUCAGUUUUGCGUAGGAAUGAAGCAGCAUUGGACGACGUAGCUUCGCACACAAUCUCCUUCACUAGAUUGACUGCCGAUCCACUUGAGAUAAGUGCCUCAUCUAUUUAUACCCCUGUUAUGUUCAGUAAGGUAAAGGACGAGAUUGUCAACUUAUCAAGAUGGAAUGUUCUUGAGGUGGAAGAGGACACUGGUUUGGUUAGCUAUGGAGUUGCUCGCAAAGAGUCGGUGCACGUUAGGUUCCAUGUCACAUGUAUUUUUGAUGGAUCUAAGAUGGAAAGUGCAUAUUGUGGAUGUAGGAAGAUGGAAAGCGAGGAUUUUCCAUGUGCUCAUAUAUUUUGCGUUUUGAAGUAGAAUGGGAUAUGCACCAUCCCCGCAUGUUGUGUGAAGGCUAGAUGGACAAUGCAAGCCAAGCCUGCUUUCGGUUCUGUGAGGAGUGCCAAUACACAUGUAUGGUCAGAACAGAUGGAUAAGUACCAUGAACUGCGCAAUAUGGCUAGUGAGGCUUUAUUCACGGCCUCAGCUAGUGAAAUGCAGUCAGAAAAGGUGAUGGAGUACCUGAGGAGCAUAUUGGACGAGGGCAACAAAAAUGAUGGGAAUACUGGCACGCCAUCAUUUGUUCCUAUGCCGGCUUAUUUUUCUGGGGCGCGGCAAUGGUUUACAGAUCAAGUCCAAGACCCUAAACCAAUAAUAAAUCCCAAAGGCAGACCAGCCAAAGAAUCGAAUAAGAGGUUGAAGCCAUUCCUGGAGAAUUUGCAAGCAAAAAAGAAAACAUUGAAGAAAGUUCAUGGUCAGUUGAGUAGGGGAGGAAGAAAAAAGUGAACAAUACUGUAGAAGAAGCAGGAGAAGAAGAAGGAGGAGAAGAAGAAGAAGAAGAAGAAGAAGAAGAGGCGGCAGAAGAAGAGGAUCGUGCUAAGAAGAGGAAACCGGUGAAGAAAGCUUCAGCAAAGGUGACUGAAGUUAGUAUGAUGACUCGGGGGAGAAAGAGAAAAGAGAACAAUGACGAAGUGUGUGCUAAGAACAAAAGACCUUUCAAGUCGACCAUCGUCAACAUCCUGAAGAGAGAUGGCACAGUCCCGAAUUGUACCUUGGAUGUUUUAAGCGGCAAAUCAGGCACUAAAUGGGGAGAUAACUACCUUAAACAUGACAUGAUUUUCCUACCUUCAAAUAUUCCCAAGAACCACUGGUUCCUAGCUGUUGUCAACUCCCAAAAGAGGGAGAUUCAAAUUCUGGACUCACUCCAAUCACGCAACAACCGGAAAGAAGUAAUUGCUGCGCUUCUUGGAAUGGAAACACAUAUUGAUAUAGCAGUGAUGGAAAAUGGAAUGCAAGGAAGUAGAUGGCCGGACACUCAAGUGGCUUCGUGGCCUAUCAAAGACUAUGAAGUGCCACAGCAAACAGAUGGCUGUUCCUGUGCUCUCUGGGUGUUGAAAUUCAUCCAAUAUUGGACCGGAGUGAGAUUGUCGGCAAUAUUCAACCAGGAUGACAUAAGACAGUUCAGAAGAUGGCUUGCUGCUGCCUUGAUCAAUUCACCUCACAAUGAGUUGAAAGUUCGGAAGGCCAUACCAGCAGUUGAUUUACAAGAUGAUUUAGAAGAUCUCGACCUCGGAGGUGACGACGGACACAACGACAGCGGAGAUGUCUCAGGAGACGAUGGUUCCGCACUAUAGUUGUGUGCUGCUGGACUUAGGGUAGAGUUAAUAGGAUUGGGCGUGGUGUGGUUUUUGCCCCGUAGACGGUUUCCACACCGUUUUCAAUUUUAUUACUUUAUCUAUACAGCAGAGAUGUAUCAAACAAUUUUUUUGGUUGUGCUAUUUCAUAUAUACGGCAAAUUGCCGUACAUUACUAUUUUUAUCUGCAUUGAAUAUCUA
rnacentral:rRNA from 1 species